ensembl:lncRNA
GUUGCCUGUCCUGUGGCAAUGGAGUUCAGUUCAGCUGGACCCAAAAAUGCAGAUGUGCUCCUUUUCCCCAGUGAUUCCUGCAGAUUUAUCCCCUGCCUGUGGAAAAUUAGAAACUAGAUUAAGGAGGGUGCCAAUCCUGCUGCUGGUUAUGGAAUUUUACCCUUGGAAUGGGUUUGUUCUUCCUGCCUAGGAAUCCUGCCUGGAAAUCAUGGAAUGGUUUGGAUUGAAAAGCUGAAAUUCUAGAAGUCCUGCCUAGAAAUCAUGGAAUGGUUUGGGUUGGAAAGUUGAAAUUAAUCUCUUCUGGAAAUCAUGGAAUGGUUUGGGCUGGAAAGCUGAAAUCCAGCCGUUCUGGAAAUCAUGGAGUGGUGUGGGUUGGAAAGUUGAAAUUAAUCUCUUCUGGAAAUCAUGGAAUGGUUUGGGCUGGAAAGCUGAAAUCCAGCCGUUCUGGAAAUCAUGGAAUGGUUUGGAUUGGAAAGUUGAAAUUCAGGGAAUCCUGCCUGGAAAUCAUGGAAUGGUUUGGGCUGGAAAGCUGAAAUCCAGCCGUUCUGGAAAUCAUGGAAUGGUUUGGAUUGGAAAGUUGAAAUUCAGGAAAUCCUGCCUGGAAAUCAUGGAAUGGUUUGGGUUGGAAAGGUGAAAUCCAGCCGUUCUGGAAAUCAUGGAAUGGUUUGGGUUGGAAAGCUGAAAUCCAGCCGUUCUGGAAAUCAUGGAAUGGUUUGGGUUGGAAAGCUGAAAUCCAGCUGUUCUGGAAUUCCUGCCGGGGCUGCCCAGGGAGGCGCUGGGGAGGCGCCCCAGGGUGCGGGUUGGGGGCCGGGGGUGGCCGGAGGGGCCAGGGCCGGGUCCGGUGUGUGGGAGGGGGUCAGGGCCGUGUCCGUUCUGUCUGUGCCAUGUCCAUGUCGUUUCUGUGCCAUAUCUGUGCCCUGUCCAUGCCGUGUCCGUGCCGUGUCCCUGCCAUGUCCGUGGCAUGUCCAUGUCGUGUCUGUGCCGUGUCUGUGCCGUGUCCGUGCCGUGUCCAUGCCAUGUCCGUGCCCUGUCCCUGCCAUGUCCAUGCCAUGUCCAUGCCGUGUCCGUGCUGUGCCCGUGCCGUGUCCGUGCCAUAUCUGUGCCCUGUCCCUGCCCUGUCCGUGCCAUGCCGUGCCGUGCCCGGUGUGCGGGAGCCGGGCCGGUUCUGUGCGUGGCUCUGCCGGAGGCGGAUCGGAGCCUGGCGGGGCUGUCCCGGGGCUGUCCCGGGGCUGUCCCCGGUACUGCGGGAGGCGGGCCGGUGCCGGUUCCGUGGGAGGGAGGCUGGGCUGUUCCCGGUGCUAUCCCCGGUUCCGUGGCGGUGCCGUGGGAGGCGGGCCGGUCCCGGUGCUAUCCCCGGUGCCGUGGGAGGCGGGCCGGUGCCGGUGCUGGUGCUAUCCCCGGUGCCGUGGGAGGCGGGCCGGUGCCGGUGCCGGUGCCGGUGCCGGCGCUAUCCCCGGUGCCGUGGGAGGCGGGCCGGUGCCGGUGCCGUGGGAGGCGGGCCGGUGCCGGUGCCGGUGCUAUCUCCGGUGCCGUGGGAGGCGGGCCGGUCCCGGUGCCGUGGGAGGCGGGCCGGUGCCGGUGCCGGUGCCGGUGCUAUCCCCGGUGCCGUGGGAGGCGGGCCGGUGCCGGUGCCGGUGCCGGUGCCGGUGCCAUCCCCGGUGCCGGUGCCGCGGAGGAGGCGGGCCGGCGCGGGGGGCGGGCGCUGCCGCGGGGCCGGCGGGCGAUGCGCUUCCUCCGCUGAGCGCAGCGCGGCCGAGCCGGCAGGAUGACGGUGGAGUUCGAGGAGUGCAUCAAGGACUCGCCCCGGUUCCGGUGAGCGCAGGGCCGCCGCGGCCGCCCCGGGAAGGGCCCGGGGCGGUGCCGGGGCUGGGGGGGACGGGAGCACGGGCAGGGCCGCGCC